UAUUCGAGUAGAGGCGCAUUCAUUAAGAGUAUAUUUCAGGAACUUGAAAAGAAGUGGCGACUGAAGUAAAAAGGGAUGAAUGCCGAAAUGGGCAGUUACUUUUCUGACUGUUCGUUGGGACUUAAUUUAACAGGUUAAGGACUGUCGCAGCAGGCGUGUUGCGGGGAGCUAUCAAGAUG
rnacentral:ncRNA from 2 species